UUUUGUUUUACCUUUCUCGGAAAGACGUUGUUGAUGAGAAACUUCCUGAACGCCAGAGCUAUCAAGACUCUUGUUUUCCAGUUUCUUUGUUCUUCUUUCCUGUUCCUAUCUCGUCAGGGAGUCAUUCUUUGCGGUGAAUGACAGGAAAGGGCCUGGUGAAUUCUCCUGGAGAAUCGACAUGUAGUCAAAUGAUAGUGAUCCACAUCCAGGGGCCAGACCUAUUCAUCUGUUCUAACGUGUGGUGGAGGUGGAGUGGGGAUGCUGCUGUUGAGAAAGCUCUGAAAACAUCUCAGCAGUCAGAGACUGACUUCUUAUCAGUGAGAAGAGUACCUUUUCAUAUGCCAACACAUGUACUACUUACUUUUUUAUUUUUUACAUAGCCCUCCCUCCCUCCACACACACACACACACACACACACACAAUUUAUGUGUUGAAACAAACAGGAAUAAAAGGUGACAAUCUGUACUUUUGCCUCAUUAAUCUUUCAAUCAUAUUUUCAUAGUGUGCGCAUUGAGAGUGCCACAAAAUAACCAUUCUGACUUUAUUGUCCCAAUAUAUAUGGAGGGCACUGUUUGAACAAAAUGUGCUGUUUUUAGAAGGUUAAUAUGAUUGAGUGAAUAUAACCCUAACCCUCAAAAGCUGACAUGCUUUACUUUAACCCUAUAAUAUCUAAUCCAACGUGCUGGAGCACAGACCUAAAACCUGAAAACGUGUGUUUAUGUCCAGAUACUUAUGGACUGUACUGGAUCUUAAGAUAGCUGGGGGGAGUAACCACAUAACCCUUCAACAGUGUGUGGAGAGGACACCUAGAUACUCUUUAAAAGGUAGUUCUAAAGCUAUCCCGGAAAAAACGGUAAAAUUAUGUAAAUAAUAUAAUAAACGUGUGUAUUGUGAUCAGCUUGUCAAAUAAAACUGUCAGAGUUUG